CCCCUCCGCACCGAGUACUCCACGGCGGCGGCGGCUGCGGCGGCGGCUCCCUUCCCCGCUUCCUUCCUUCCCGGCAGGCUCAGCGCUGUGGCUUCUGCGGCACACACACACCCCCACCCCGACUCCUUCCCGCGGGCCGUUCGCCCCCUCCCCCCGCCAGAGCUCUCCGGAGCUCCCCGGAGCCCCUCCACGGGGUUUAGCCCCAGUGGGACCCCUCCGGGCCCAGUCGCCCCACUCCUCAACUCACGCCCCCAGUCCGGGCCCCCGCGUGUCUCGCUCCACUCUCGGUGGCUCCCGCUCCCAUCCCCAUCCCGCUUCGUCCGCCGGACUCUCCGGGCUCUUCUGCCCCUAUCCUCUUUGGAGCGCACACCUCUGUCCGGGUUUCUCCCCGCAUGCCCCGAAGCCCUCCUUUUGCCGGCGCCCGCGCCCGCUUGCCCACCCGGUAGGCGGCCUCGAGGGAGCUCGGAGCCGGGGGCUCAGAGUUACCCUGGGGGAAUGAGCCGGCCGGCAGCCCGACUUGCUAUCGGAGACGCUGCGCUGCCGGUGCCCGCGGAACAGUAGCGACGGAGCCGCGGCGUGGGCAAAUGCGCGCCGCACCCCUCCGGAGACCCUAGCCGGGCCACCAAUGGCCAGCUGGAACUUUACGCCCUUCUCUACCCCCCGCGGCUGCCUUCCCUCCCCGUACAGCACCUUCGCGCCCUGGCCUGGGAGCGCGAACCCCGCUUUCACCUAGAACGUACCUGGCCAUGGGGCCGAAAAUCUUGGAGAAGAUCGCACCGAGCACGUGCUUCAGCGAGUGGCCCAGGGCGGCCAGGCCCCGAGUGAGCAGGGCCCGGCAGAGGGAGCCCAGGUCCCAGCGUCGCCUGAGGACGUGCAUCCGCCUGCGGCGGCCCCGGGACAGCAGCGCGAAAAGCGGGGCGCACGCGGCUCCCGCCAGGGAAGAAGACGCCUUUCGGGGCUUGUCCAGGAGCGGCCGGGUGUGGAAUCCGUGAGACACACCCCUAGGAGGGCCCGCGCGAACUGAGGCGGCGACCGACCCGGGCCGGCUCGCUGCCAAUUCGGCCUCUACUCUGGAAUGCCGGCGGGGACAGGUGGUGCGGACGGGCGCUCCUCGCUCCGGUUGCCGCGGCGGCUCGAACUCCCGGACUGCACACGCAGGCAGUGCCAUUCCCCCCUUCAGGCAACUCAGGGUACUAAGGAUCACGAGCGAGCUUGAAUUUAUAUAAUAAUGCCUCACGCCUAAGAGCUCGAGCCACUUCACAAGCAGAGAACCUGGGUUUUCUCUUUUCUUGGAGUACGGAGGUCACUCCGCUUAGCGCAUCACUCCACUUUGGCUCGUAAUUUCAACCUCUCCUAAAAUAGCAAAGGCGCAAAUUGGAGCUUUUCCGUCUCUCUUUGCCAAUUUCCAUUCUCCAGCGGAAGCGGGGGCAUUUUCUGAAAAGGUACCCAAUAUCUUCAACAGAGACUAGUCCACAUUCUCAGAGAACUUACCAUCGAUAUAAGGAAAUAUAAUACACCUAAUAUGCAAGAGCCUGAGGAUAAUGACUGACUAAUCUGUGGCACUAGCUCUAAUGCAGUGACACUCAGCGGAUGGUUCACAGAUGUCUGGAAUGGCCAGAAAAGCCUCCCUACUGAACAUUGGGAGGGCCUGGAGGAGCUAAUCAAUCUGCCCACCCACCCAUUCUUUUUUGUCUUGGUCCCAGAAAGAGGAACUUUUGCUGACAGAAACUGUUUUGACCACCUUUUCUUGUUGUACUCAGGGCAUCAGUCCCUUCCUUGUUCACAGGGUUGUAUACAAAGUGUCCUAGCCCUCCCCAGCUACAAAUUCCACCCUCAAUCUGCAGUGACAAGAGCGUGACAUGGCGGAGUCUUUCAUCAAGAGAGCAGUAUGUAGCCUCACAAACACAGUACGGGCUGUGUCAACAUGCACAACUCAGUUGCAGAGCAAAUAGUUGAUUUUUUUAGACCAAGUCAAUAAGCUGCUUUUCACAGGGAGAAGAGGGACCAGGAUAGGCACAGUUUAAACAAGAAGACACUCUGCAUUUUACCCUAAAUGUUUCCAUUGUUCUAUAUCUUGCCAGUGGUUGGUAGCAAGUCAAAGCAAAAACUGACAUUUAGUGUUCCAGAGUCUUCUGGAAGAGAGCCAGCUAAUGAAUUACCAGAUGAACAGCUUUUGGCUCACUUAUCAAGGACAAAUCUUAUGCCAGCUGAGAUGCUAAGAUGCUGUUGCAAUAGCAAACUAACAACCACAAUAACAACAACAAUAAUUUACCAGGAUGAUUGCAAGAAUGCAGGACAGACAAUUUUCUUUGUUGGCUGUAAUCUGGAAAUACGUUUAGUUUUGAUUUUUCAUCCACAUUAGAUGCUCAUAACAUGACAUUCUAAACAGAGACAUUUUAGGCUGGAUAUCAACAGAGAAUUAUUUUUAUUCAUCAUUAGUUUCAUCAAAAACUUAACAGCUGAUAUAGAUUUCAUCAAAUGAUGAGGGAGAUUAGUAUGAUGUAAAAAAAUUCACAACAAGGCACAAGGCUCACACCUGUAACCCCAGCACUUUAAGAGGCAGAGGCAGGAGGAUCAGAUUGCUUGAUUCCAGGUGUUCAAGACCCUGUUUCUAUAAAUAAAUAAAUAAAUAAAUAGUGGGGCAUGGUGGGGCACGCCUGUGGUCCCAGCUAAUUCAGAAGCUGAAGUGGGAGGAUCACCUGAGCCUGGGAGGUUGAGCCUGCAGUGAGCCAUGAUCACGCCACUGCACUGCAGCCUGGGUGACAGAGUGAGACCCUUCUAAAAAAAUCACUAUAAAGAUGUAUUUUAUUCUUUUGCUCUGCCUUGUAACACUACCGUUCAUCUAAUACUCAGACAAACUGAGGGUAGAAGAUUCAGGCUUAAUUGUCCCUCCUCUCCACCAAUACCCCCUGUACUAGUCUGAAAUGACAAGGUAGGAGCUCCUCUUAGCAAUAUUUACAGACCAUUCUUCACAUAAAAGAAUAUAAGAACUCUCAAAAAGCUAAAUAAACAGAGUACUCUAAACAAGCCCUCUUCCUGUCCUUUUCUCAGAAGUCUGCUGCAAAGGCUCUUGGUCAGUGCCACAGGCUGUUCUUUUAUCUCAGUAACCGGAGUGCCUUUGCAAAGCUGGCCUGGAGGUCAGGUCUCAGGCUCACUCCCCGGUAUUCAGUGAAUUCUUAGUCAAGUCCAAGCUUGAGUCAGCUGCCUCCAUUGUAACUCUUUUGCAAUUCGAUGGAUAGCUUGGUCCUUAUGUCUUGAGGAUUGGAAUCUCCUGGGCAGGGAUUGGAUUUCACUUUCCAUGUCUACAGUGUUUGCACUAAGGUUAUUAAUAUAUUCUCUACAGGAGGGAUCAUAUUGAGAGCAAGCUGAAAUUCACAUAACAAAGCCUGUGGCUUGAAACUACGCUGGGCCAAGCCCCCAGGGGGAUACUGGGUAACUCUGAGCAGCCAGUCACCCUUGGAGAACAUUGAGAAGCAUCUGAGUCUACCCUUUCUGGGACACAGCAUCUUUCUAUAUUAGACCCACUCUCCCAGACUUCCCACCAUACCUGGAGGUGCCCUGCAACGCCAAUGAGGGAAAAUGUAACCUGAGGAACACUCAUUUCCACCGUGGUGUGAGGGACUCAGAGGAUUCCCUUUCCCAAAGUUCCAUUUAGAAUGAAAUGAAUGAAUAAUUUAUACCAGGGUAAGAGUCAAUAAGACCAUUAAAGGAGCAGGCAACUGUAAUACAAAGAGCACACCCUCUAGGAUCAGACCAGGAUUUGAAACUCAGUUCUGCUCUUUACUAACUGUGUGGCCUUAGGCAAGCAGUUAGCCUACCAGUGCCUCAGUUUCCUCCUCUGUCUCUGUACAAUAGGUAUGAUACUAAUCAACAACCUUGUAAGGUAUGCAUGUAAAGCUAGAGGAUAAUAUACAUAAAAGGCCUUUUACAGGCCCUUACAGAGAAUGGGUAUCCAACAAAUGGCAGUUACUGUUAUUAAACAAAGCAGGAGAGAUGUCUGGGAACUUCUUAAUGUCUUUCAAAUCACAGCCCUAGGUGAAUGUUUAUAUCCAAUCUAGACAAGAAUUACCCUGUUCAAAUACAUCAUUGGAUCUAUACAGAUGUUAUUAUUUUUCAUUGUUUUGUUUUGUUUUUUGAGACAGGGUCUCGCUCUGUUGCCCAGGCUGGAGUGCAGUGGCACAAUCAUGGCUCGCUGCAGCCUCGACCUCCCUGGGCUCAAGCAAUUCUCCCAUCCCAGCCUCCCGAGUAGCUGAGACUGCAGGUGCAUGCCACCACGCCUGGCCAAUGUUUUGUAUUUUUCAUAGAGGCAGGGUUUUGACAUGUUGUCCAGGCUGGUGUUGAGCUCCUGGGCUCAAGCAAUCCUCCCACCUCAGCCUCCUGGGUUGCUGGGACUACAGGUGCAUGCCUCUAUGCCUGGCUAAUUUUUGUAUAUUUUGUAGAAACAGAGUUUCACCGUGUUGCCCAAGCUGUUCUAGAACUUCUGGGCUCAAGCAAUCCUCCCAGCUUGGCCUCCCAAAGUGCUGGGAUUACAGAUGUGAACCGCCAUGCCCAGCUUAUACAUACGUUUUAAUACUUUUCUGCCUUCAUGUUUUUAAUAACCCAAGUAAGGCUUGACUGAAACUCUUUGUAAAUGUUCAAAUAUCAUAGAAGGUGCAAAAAUUCCUCUUGACCCCCAUACAAUUCCAUUCCCUUCCCCUGAGGUAGCUGCUGUUUUCAGUUUGUUUUGUAUGUUGGAGGGCCUUUAUUGUAACCAAGUACACAUAUGAAUACACAUAUUAAAAUAAA